rnacentral:rRNA from 1 species
CCUACGGAGGGGCUGCAGUGGGGAAUAUUGGACAAUGGGCGAAAGCCUGAUCCAGCCAUGCCGCGUGUGUGAAGAAGGCCUUCGGGUUGUAAAGCACUUUCAGUGGGGAAGAAAGCCUUGGGGCUAAUACCCUCGAGGAAGGACAUCACCCACAGAAGAAGCACCGGCUAACUCCGUGCCAGCAGCCGCGGUAAUACGGAGGGUGCGAGCGUUAAUCGGAAUUACUGGGCGUAAAGCGCGCGUAGGCGGUCUGAUAAGCCGGUUGUGAAAGCCCCGGGCUCAACCUGGGAACGGCAUCCGGAACUGUCAGGCUAGAGUGCAGGAGAGGAAGGUAGAAUUCCCGGUGUAGCGGUGAAAUGCGUAGAGAUCGGGAGGAAUACCAGUGGCGAAGGCGGCCUUCUGGACUGACACUGACGCUGAGGUGCGAAAGCGUGGGUAGCAAACAGGAUUAGAUACCCUUGUAGUC